GAAUCCGUUGGCUUGCCUCCGGCAUUUUUGGCCCUUGCCUUUUAGGGUUGCCAGAUUAAAAGACAGGAUGCCCAGCUAGUUUGAAUUUUAGAUAAACAACGAAUAAUUUCGUAGCGUAAAUAUGUCCCAAGCUUAGUUUGGGACAUACUUAUGCUAAAAAACAUUAUUGGUUGUUUAUCUGAGAUUCAGAAUUAAGCAUUUUAUAUUUUAUUUGCUGCCUCUGGCCACCCUACUCUCUUCCUAACACUCUCUCCCUCUCCCAGUUUUGUCCGCCUUCCCUGCCUCCUCUUCUGGGGGAGUUAGAUCGAGUUGUAACAAGAACAUGCCACUGUCUCGCUGGCUGCAGCGUGUGGUCCCCUUACCAGAGUGAGGAUGCGAAGAGAAGGUGGCUGUCUGCAAACCAGGAAGAGAGCCCUCACCGGGAACCCGUCCAGCUGCCACCUUGAACUUGGACUUCCAAGCCUCCAGAACUGUGAGGGAUAAAUGUGCUGCAUCAGAGUCCCAGGUGGGAAGAAGGCAAGCAUACACAAAAAUGGUAAAAGGCAGAAAGGAGCCCAG